GCCGGCUGUUCUCAAUGCGAGCGGUCACAUUGUACAUGGGAGAUGGUAAAGAUCGGACGCAAAAUAAUAAAAAAUAUUAGGAGAGAUGGCCGCAAAUGAAAAAGAGUGAUUAGAACUAUAUGGAUUGGAUUAGAAAUGGGUUUUAGGAAAUAGAAACAGCGGUGUUUUGUCGCUGGCACAAGCGACACAAGAGCGAACGUCGAAAACUUCGCUUAUUGAACGACAUCCUGACAGUACUCCACAAACAGGCGUUAUCCCUUUUUCAGCAGAGGAGUGCUACCGAGGUUCAAUGACUAGCUGCGGGGGAG
rnacentral:sRNA from 1 species